ACAAACAUAUAUCAACGGAGAUUAGAAACCAUCUAUGACCGUGAGACAUAGAGAUACAAAUCUGACAAGAUGCAGACAGAGUUGGAGAGACAGAUCUGAGGGAGAGGCCUCUUCACUAUUGUCAGACCGCUCUUCCUUCAUCUCUCAGUUCCACAAAGUCGUCAGUAAGUUUUAUUUGCUUGAAAACUUGAGGAUAGUUCUAGGCAUGACCAUGGUGCAAUCUUUUUCAAUCUCUGGCCCAGCCCCAAUAUAAGACCAUUCUUUCUUGGAUUUUUUUUUUUGGCUUGCAACCUGGGUUAUUAGAGAAGAAGAGAAGGCAGUGGAGCAAACACAGGCCAAGAAGGGAAAACAUUUUUCAAAUCCAUAAUGAUUACAAGGUUGCCCACAACUCAUUCCCGCAUAGAAUGUACAUUUUUUGGUGUGUCAUAGUUUGCAUUCUUUGGCAAAGAUGUUGUUGAGUUGGGAGGUUGUCAUUCUUCGUCACUUGGAGUUUUUAAAAUGGAAUGGAGGAUGUUCUAGCGAGCUAUGUAUUUGGGAAGAAGAAGACAACAAAAGUUGCUCACUUGAAAAAAAUUUAGCCUUUACUGGCCAAAAUUUUAAUGUAUCUUUUGAGAAAAGCUUUUCAAACAUUCCAUGAUCGAUUGAAGCACCAUGUAUCUUGAAGUCAACCUAGGUUAAUGCAGCAAUGGAGUGCAAAAAUGCAGCAAUGGAGUGCUUGAUUUUUUUCCAGCUUUUUGGUGAUGGUGGAGAAACUGUCAAAAAGGGAGCUAGAACAAUGGGCCACUACAUCUAAUUUGGAAUGCAAGAAUAAAGCUUACUUUGAGAAAAUCUAGACACAACCAAAGGCCAUCUUUGGAGGGAGCUUUAGUGAUGUUGGAGACAUAGCACAAGCUAUCGGCUACUCAAGCACAUUCUUAAAUAUGGGGCUACAGUUAUUUACAAUCUGGGCUUGCAUCUUCAUCGAAAGGUUUUUGUUUAGUUGAGGGAUAGCCUAGUUUUUUUCUUUGUGUGGCUCCUGGCCUGGCCUGGGGUGCGUGCCCAGGCUAUUUACCUCUGUAUACGGAUUUACAUUUCUUUGAAUAAAAUUUUCUAUUAACAUUGAAUGUAUUCUCUAAUUUUGACGCAAGAGUUUCCUUAUUUAUUUAUACAACAAUCUUACAAGAAUGUAGAGUUCAAACCAAGAAAAUGUACUAACAUGUUUUAUC